GACGAACGCUGGCGGCGUGCCUAACACAUGCCAGUCGAACGGAAAGGCCCUGCUUUUGUGGGGUGCUCGAGUGGCGAACGGGUGAGUAACACGUGAGUAUCCUGCACUUGACUUUGGGAUAACUUCAGGAAACUGGGGCUAAUACCGGAUAGGAGCUCCUGCUGCAUGGUGGGGGUUGGAAAGUUUCGGCGGUUGGGGAUGGACUCGCGGCUUAUCAGCUUGUUGGUGGGGUAGUGGCUUACCAAGGCUUUGACGGGUAGCCGGCCUGAGAGGUUGACCGGCCACAUUGGGACUGAGAGAGGCCCCAGACUCGUACGGGAGGCAGCAGUGGGGAAUAUUGCACAAUGGGCGGAAGUCUGAUGCAGCAACGCUGCGUGCGGGAUGACGGCCUUCGGGUUGUAAACCGCUUUCGCCUGUGACGAAGCGUGAGUGACGGUAAUGAGUAAAGAAGCACCGGCUAACUACGUG
rnacentral:rRNA from 1 species